GGGGAUAUAGCUCAGCUGGGAGAGCACCUGCCUUGCACGCAGGAGGUCAGCGGUUCGAUCCCGCUUAUCUCCACCA
rnacentral:tRNA from 4 species